GGAUGCAGCGCGUCGGGGCCGAGGAUGGGCGCCGGGCUGCCGCGCGUUGCAGCGCCUCUUCCCUGAGCUCUCGCCCCGCUCGGCACGCAGUUCUGAGAGGGGGUCUCGGCCUGUUUCUGGAGUCUCCCGCCUCCUGGGCUCUGUCUCAGUCCUGUCCUACCGCCCAUCUGGCCCGGACUGCUGUUCUCCUGCUUCCGCCCGAUCGCUGGGGCCCUGCUCCUCCUGAGGACCCCCUGUGAGGCGUUGGAGGACCUCGCCCCUCCUCCGCGCCUCCUCCUUUGCCCACAGGGCGAAGGUGCUGCUUCCUUGGAUUUGCGUCGCCUUCUGAUAUCAUGGGCUGGAACCUCCACGGGAUGCCAUGGUUUUCAUGAACUUUUCGCGAGCAGUUGUGUGUUUCAGGGAAGGAAUCCGGUUCCAAAUCCAACUUCUCAGUUUACUUGGUUAUUUUGUCGGUACUUGAGAUGUGCCGGUACUACAAAGUCUUGUUCCGAUCUAAUCCUUCGAGGAGAGGAACCAACUGACCAUCGUCCUACUAUCAGAACCGAGUGUGAGAUGGGAAUGUGGGGGUGCUGGUUGAAUAUACAUUCAACUUUGAAUAAAGAGGACAAUCAGGGCCACAUGUGUCUCUUCCUUUUCAUGCUCCCUCUGAAGUAAGGUCUUCUCUUACCAGCAUUUCCUUCUGGGUCCCAGAAAAUUCCUCCUGUGCUGUGGAAGACCUCAAGUGAGGUUUCUACCAAGACUUUGAGAGGAUUUGAAGCUCUUUUUAACUAAAAAGUUCAGCUUUCUCACAGGCACUGCUGUGGCUCACUUUGUGGGGUGGGAAGUCCUUCUGCUGGGGUGAGAAUACAAGUCAGGCUCCUGAAUUUUCAUAACAGAAUGUCAGCCUUGCCACCUGACAGCCUAAAGCAUAUGCCUAAAGCAUAUGGAUCUCUUUUCAAUCAACGCAGUGUCUUCACUUCCUCUAAAGAGCUCAGUCUUGGACUGACUGAUACACAGCCCUGUCAGAAAGCUCAGCUGAGAAGAGUGACAUUUGAGGGAUAUUUGGAGCUAACCAUUCAGUCUCUAAGUUUUGACCUUAAACCAAGUUAAGAAUUUGUUUGGACUACAGCUCUAAUUCCAUUAGAAAUGUCAUCAUCGAAUAACAUUUAAGUAAUAUGCACUCUGGUUUUGUGCAGGAAUGGUAAAGAAAUGUCUGUUUCUGAAGAACCACCUCUAAACUAUUUUUCUUUUGUCUUACUAAAUGUGUCUUCAAGAAAAAAUGUUUCUGAAGAAGUGGACUAUUUUUUAUAUUGGGUAGUGAGAACUAUUGUAGCUCUGUUCAAGACAAAGUUUCAAAUUUGAACCACUCCCUUCUUCUCUGAGUAACAGUAAUUAUAGACAAAGUUAUAAAAGGGAAACUUUAAAAGACAACAAUACUCUACAGAACAAAAUAAAUAUUACUUUGGACCAGAAAGAGGACAGAAAUGCAAAGCAAUAAAGGGGCUGUAACUGAGGACCUGCUUGGCUCUGGCACUGUAAAAAGGCAGACACGACUAGGACUUCAGCUCCCGUGGGGUGACAGAGUCUAAAGGUGCCCAGCAAGUGGGGAUCAGAGCUGGAAUCAUCGUCUGAAAUUAGGGUGUGGGGUGGUGUUCCAUGAAAGGAAGCUUACAAAACUUCUGCCUACUCCUAUCUGAAUAUCCAAGACAUGAGGGAGGAUGCAGACUCAGCUUUGAAGCCCGCACUUUAGCCAAGAUGACUUCUAGCUCAGUGAUGAGAACUCUGUCAUGACUAUCCCUAUGGGGAAGCAGCCCUGCUAUGACAAUACGAGAUCUAGUUCUAGCUUGGGAGCCUAGCAGGGUUGGGUGGAGACCACUGAAAGACCACCAGGAGGGAGAGGAAGGAGAGAGGAAAGGUGGAGGAAGAAAUCCCUAAAUAAUUGACAAGGCUUCCUCCUACUCAAGACAUACCUGACAAUCUAAAUGCUGUAAUCCACAAAGAAAAAAAUGCUGAGAAAAUACAGCCACCAAAACAAAUUAUUGAAAUUAAUUCUUUUUCAGAGGAAGUGAAAAUGAUUGGACACUCUGAAAAGGGUUUUAUGGUAAGAUAUUGACAGGCUUUCACCAACAAGAUAAAGAAAGGAAAACAUCCAUAAUGAAGAGUAAGAAAAUAGAGAAAAAAUCAUGCAGAAAUGAAACAACAGGCAACUCUAAAAAUAGCCUCUUAGGAAUUCCAGAAAUAAGAUGGUGUAAGCAUUAGAAAAGACACAAUCAAACAGAGAUUUAGUAAAUUAAAAAGCAGAACUGAGGGACUGGUGAAAUGGCAGUUUGGAAACAGAGAGGGUGGAUCAAGGAGGUGAAAUUUAGGUCUAGGAGAAGCUGCAAAACAUUAGAGCAGAGGAGGGAGUGGAGAGGCAAUGGCUGAGGGGACGCUGGCCAAGCUCUGUUCAGUGUCGACGGCCCGAAUCCUCAGAGUAAAUGUGUAAUCCAGGUUCCAAGAAGGAGAAAUAGAAAUAAGUUCAUACUUAGGUGCAUCAUAAUGAAAUCGAAGAUAAGGAGAAAAUAUUAAAAUCCACUGGAGAGAAAAAUCAGGUUCUUAAAGAGAUGACCAUCAGGCAGGCAGCUGACUCCUCAUCAGCAAUCAUAGACAGAUCUACAAAUUGCUGAGAGAAAAUCGCUGUCGACCUAGAAUUCUAUGGCUGGUGAAAUGAGCUGUGAGGACAAGAUUAACAUCAGGCCUGGGACCUAAACAUAACAAGGCUUUCCUGGGAAGAAAACCUCAGUUCUGCCUUCCAACAGCAUCAUUACCUCAGAAGAUGCUGAUUUAAGAUAAACAUGGAAUUUCACAUGUGAAGAGCCAAUGAACUGUCUUAUUCCCUGUGAAAUUCCUGGUUGGUGGGAGCACAUCUGCACUGAGGGUGCUGUAAGUGGGCGUCCGAGCCUUGCACCUGUGUGGUGGGAACAGCACGCAAGAAUGAUGGGAAAUCCAGGCAGUGGCUUCUCCAUGCCGAGUUACACCGCACACGUGUUGCUGUCCUCCCUCAGUUGCACACAUCCUGUGUGGGUCAAGGCGGGGACAAGAAGCUGUGCACACAGACAGCUUCAGGGCCUCCUUACCGGAGGAACACUGUUUUCCCUGACUUUUCUCCUUCUAUAAAUCUAAAUAAAUGUAACAAUGGAUUAAAUCCCACUGUUAUGUGAGUUUGAUUGCUAGUCCUAACUUGUGAUCACUGUUAGUGGUGACACACUCUCAUUAAAGGGAAAUAAAAAUGUUUUCCCACAUGCAAAGACUAAGAGAAUUUCCCACUCACAAAGCAUCAGUGAAAGAACUCUGAAGGCUAUACCUUAGUGAGAAGAAAAUUUAACUCAGAGGGGAAGACUCUGACACAAGAUACAAAGGCAAACAGAGAAACUGAAAAAAGUAAGUGGAGAAAUAUUUUUCUGUCCAAAAAAGUGAAAUUAAACCUCUAGACAAUAAAGGAAAAUGGAGUCUUCACUGGAUACUUAGUAUGUUAACAUCUCUGUCCUGUUUGAGAGCAGAAUUGAGAUGCUGGUGCUGAAUGACUCUACACUCUUCUUGAAACACUUAUGAGGUAUGUAUUUUUAAGAUUUAAGAAUAACCACUAGAAGGAUAGAAAUACUCUCUACAGCUUCCAGACUCAUAGAGAGAACAAGAAAGUUUUAACAGUUCAUCAGAAUGUAGAAAAGGAUCAAAAAGAAGCAAGGAGAAAGGAGGAGAUCCAGAUCACCAAUGACUUUCCCUCUUUGCCUUGGCUGUCAGGAUGCCCAGAUAAAAAUUUUUUCUCCAUUAUUUCAUUCAGUAUUUCUACUACGGUUAUCUUCACUUCUCAUAAGAUAAUAUUUGAUUUCUCUUACCUUCAUUUUAAAUAUCUGUAUAGUCAAGUUAGUUUCCUACUUGUAUUAGAAUCAUGGAAUUUUAGUCCUGGAAAAAUCCUUACAGAUCUUCUAGCGCAAGGAUACAAGACAGAGCUGGUGUGCGACCGUGAUCUUGUGCACAAGGCAGACGUUCCGAGGGAGACACGGUGCUCUUUCUCAUUCCAUGCAAAAGCCUUCCUAUUUUGUUUUGUUGGCUCCGGAGAUGAAACCUGUUUAGUAAUCCAGGUUGCAUCCAGUUAUGUCUUAAUGGUGAAGAGACUGAGACGUGGAAAGGCGAGGCCGUUUGCCCAGUCACACAAACUGAGACAAGAACUAAGCCGACCAAGUCAAGUGUUUCCCCUUCUGGAUCAGACUAAAUCAGUGAAUCCUAGAGGUGUCCCCCAAUCACGGAAACUUCUAGAACCCCUGAGAAUGCUGCUGUUACCCUCCUGAAAUCUUAUUUUUAAGUUUAUUUUUUUAAAAAAGCAGUUGUAGUUUCCAGUUCUGGACGAGAUGGAGUAAACACAUUUUAUUUUACUCCCCCCACUAAUCACAAGCAAAAACUCUGGACAAAGUACGUAAGUCUAGAAAAUGGAGAAGGUAGAUUGGCUGCAGACCUCCGGACUAGAGGAAUUACCUGGAAGUGAAUUCCCUGGGUUUUUCUCCUGCCCCUAUUUGUCCUGGCCUUGGCAGUAGAGAAUUCUACAAUUUGGAAACAGGUGUAGGAAAAAAAUAGCCACAGGAGCCUGGGCUCUCCAGCCAAAGAACUGUGAAAAGUGCAACCCCGCAUGUGGGUCAGAAACGUUGACCUGCUCUCGAGGGGGGUAGCAUGAGAACUCUUGCCCUCCUCCACCCUAAUGGGCAUGGCAGCAAUAGGGUCCAUGGGCAGAACCCUGUCGUGCAGCCCCCUUGCAACAAGGAGGCGUGGCCCUCCCCUGCAGAACGGCAGGUGGGAUUCUGACUUCCUGGCAUUAGCCUCCUGCAAAUACCACAGACUGGGUGGCGCACAACAGAAAGCUAUUGUCUCACAGCUCCGGAGGCUAGAAGUCCGAGUUCAAGGUGCCGGUAGGGUUCGUUUCUGUGGGACUCUUCCUGGCUCACAGAAGGCCGCCUUCAUGCUGCGUCCUCACAGAAGCUUUCCUCUAUGGAUGGGCAGACAGAAAGGUCUCCCUUCUUUUUCUUGUAAGGACACUAGUCCUAUCAGCUUAGGGCCCCACCUUUAUGACCUCCAUAAAGGCCCUGUCUCCAGUCCAUUCACAUUGGGGUCAGGACUUCAGCAUGUGAAUUUUGGGGAGGACACAGUCGAGUCCACAGCAACCCUGUGCCACAGUAAUGAGAGGGUGCUCCUCUCUGGUGGAGCCUCUGUAUGGAAUCCUGACCUCCAUUCGUGCCCUGCACUAAGCAGGAAACAGAACUGAUAAAUUAGACUCCAUCCAGAUAAAAAUCUCUUGCUUUUUUUGGAAAAAUAUCUGCUGAAAGGAUGAAAAAACAAGCCACAGACUGGAGGAAAAUAUUUUCAAAUCACACAUCUGAUAAAGGGCUUGUAUCCAGAAUACAUAAAGAUCUCUCUAAACUCAACAGUAAGAAAACAAACAAUCCAGUUAGAAUAUGGACAAAUGAGUUGGAUAGACACUUGUCUAAUGAGGGGACACUGAUGGCAAAGAACACAUGAGAAAAUGUUUAACAUAUAAACCUCUAGGGAAAUGCAGAUUAAAGCUGCAUAUGCUACUAUUACACACAUAUUAGAGUAACAAAAAUAAAAAUACCAAUGGUGUCAAGUGCUGGCUAAGAAUGUAAAAUGGUACAGCCAUGUUGAAAAACAGUUUGGCAGCUUCUUAUAAAGCUAAGCACGCGCAUACCAUAUGACCCAGCCAUCUCUUUCGUGGGCAUUUAUCUUAGCGAAAUGAAAAGUUAUGUGCACCCAAAAACCUGUACAUGAAUGUUCAUCACAGCUUUCUUUGUAACAGUCCAAUCUGGAAACAACCCAAAUGGCCUGCAACAGGUAAAUGGAAAGACAGAAUGCUGUCCAUCUAGACUGUGAAAUGCUACUCAGCAGUAAGUGGAAUUAACUAUGGAUGCAUGUAACAAUUUAGAUGGAUUUCAAAGGAAUUAUGCUGAUAAAGGAAGCCAAUAUCAAAGGCUUGUGUCCGGUAUGAUUCCAUUUGUAUAAUAUUCUUGAAGAGACGGAAUUGUGAUGGCGAACAGAUCGGUGAGUGCCAGGAGUUAGGCGGGGGAGCAGGAUAUCACUGUGAAGGUGCCCCCCAAGGGAGUUCUUUGUGGUCAUAGAACAGCUGUGUAUCCUGACUGUGGUGAUGGUUACAUCAAUUAUGGAACUACACACACACACACAUACACACAAAAGUCCAUGCAAACACUGGUGAAAUCCAAAUAAGGUCUGCACUUGAGAACAGUGUUGUACCAAUGUCGAUUUCUUGGUUUUGACAAUGCAGUUUGGUUAUGCAAGAUGAUGUAAUUAGGGGAAACUGGGUGAGGAUGCAUGAGAAUUCUCUGUACAUCUCUAGAAUUUCUUGUGAGUCUAAAGCUAUUUCAAAAUAAGAAGCUAUAAUGUAAAAAAAUCAGUUGUAACCAAUUUUUAAAAAUGUUCCAGUCUUGAGCCUGGGGACUUCAAAGCCAGCUCUCUUACCCACUAUACCACACGAGUAAGGACCCAUUGGAAAAAUGCCCAGAGGCACCAAUAACGGGCACUCCCAGCUACUCAACAUUCUUUUCGUCUCCUUAGACCCUAGGAAGAAGAAAACACAAACGGGAAAUGGUUACUCGAGACAAUUAGGGCAUCUGAGGUGGGAUGGUUUUAAUAGAUUUUAUAAAUCAACUCUCAGGAUAAAUCCCACUUGUUUUUGUAGAGUGAUUUCAUAAUGUAUUAUGAAUUCUCCUUGCCAGGUUUUCACAUCUAUAUUCAUACAUCACCUUAUUCUAGAUAUUUUUCCUUUUGAUAUUUUUUGUUAAAAUUUUAU
ensembl:lncRNA